CUGCCCUCCCUGUUGUGGCACAAAGGACACUGCUGUGAAGCCAGAUGACCACAGAUCUUGCCUUCCUUCUCAGAUGUGUGACAUCAGGCUGCUAAUGAAUCACCCUGGCAGCCCUACUGGGUUCCAGCUGAUCCAGGAAGGGACCCACGGACAGCUUUGCUCCAGGCAGCACUUCACCCCACCAGUGUCUGUGGAGCUCCUGCUCUGCCUGACGAAUGAGGCCAACUCUUGUUCUGCCUUUGUGGAUCUUGCAAAGUGCUUGGAUUUUCAAGUGACUGUUACGAGCCCAACCACUGCCUUUUGGUGAUCCCAGUCAUCCCCCUGAGUCAGAAACAGUCUGGGCUGGUGGGGAUGGUCAAAGCAGCUAACAGCAAGACAGGCUCUGUCUGUAUAAGUCAAGCAGGAUUAUUUUCAAAAUGAAAGGCGUCAUUCAGUAUUUUGGAAAACUCUCUCGGAGAACCGAGUAUGAAUCAGUCCCAAGUAAAGCUCGGGUGGAAAAGAUGAUCAAGUCUCGGUCACAUUCUCCACUGGACCUCCUACAUUCGAAUCCUGGCUGGGCCUCUUUGGGCAAGUUACUUAAUCACAGCGUUUUCAUUAAUGAAAUGGGAAUGAUCUUGGG